GACGAACGCUGGCGGCGUGCCUAAUACAUGCAAGUGGGACGCAAGGGAACACACUGUGCUUGCACACCGUGUUUUCUUGAUUCGCGAACGGGUGAGUAACGCGUAGGUAACCUGCCUAUUAGCGGGGGAUAACUAUUGGAAACGAUAGCUAAUACCGCAUAAUAUUAAUUAUUGCAUGAUAAUUGAUUGAAAGAUGCAAGCGCAUCACUAGUAGAUGGACCCGCGUUGUAUUAGCUAGUUGGUAAGGUAAGAGCUUACCAAGGCGACGAUACAUAGCCGACCUGAGAGGGUGAUCGGCCACACUGGGACUGAGACACGGCCCAGACUCCUACGGGAGGCAGCAGUAGGGAAUCUUCGGCAAUGGACGAAAGUCUGACCGAGCAACGCCGCGUGAGUGAAGAAGGUUUUCGGAUCGUAAAGCUCUGUUGUAAGUCAAGAACGUGUGUGAGAGUGGAAAGUUUACACAGGGACGGAGCCGUCCAA
rnacentral:rRNA from 1 species